UCUCUUCCAAGUCUACAAUUCAUUCCCCAUGAAUCUCGCUCUCACUUGCCAUGUUAUCUAUCCCCUCCAUUUAUUUUUCUAUGGAAAAAUAAAGAGUAGAGGUAAUGAUUUGACUCAAGCAAUGACUCAUGAGUUUUAUACUAAUUGACAUGUAAUUUCUUACCAAGCUACUUUAACUAUGUGUUGAUCUUGAGUGUAAUUGCAACCCCAAUCAGUCCGACCAACAACAUUAAAAAUUUGUUAAAGUACCAUUCCUCUAUUACAUGAUUCAAAAGCUGUCCUCCACGUUGGGGCCUUAACUUUUCAUGUAAAGGGGUUAAUACCAUCAGCUUAACAAGAUAAUCAUUCUAAGAUCAUAGCAUGAUGUCACCAGUGUGACAUCAUCUUGACAUACCACUUGGUCACAAUAUAUUGUCAUGUUGUGUGCGCAUGCUACACAACACACAUUCAAUGGUAUGUGUAGGCCCAUCACAUCACAUAUGCUUGUCAUUCCAUGCAUACUCACCUUAGUAUUCUGCCAUGCAUGUCCCCAUACUAUACACACUGAUUGUAUUGACUAUUGAUCACAAAGUUAUCUUUUAAAUCCUGCAUCGCAUAAUUAGCUCUAUGACAUGCUUUUAUAACAACAACAUCUAGACUUCUUUCAAUGCCCUAUGAGACCCAUGAGUAUUGCAAAGGCUGAAGGAGAAUGUCAAAUGAUUAAAGUGCAAGUCAAGCUAAGUGAUGGUGAAUAAGGGAAGAAAAGGUGUUAGAGAAAGUGAAAAUUGAAUAAGAUUUUCAAGUUGGGUUAAAACUUAGUGAAGAGUUUAUACGUCACUUCAUUGAACCUUACUUAAUAAAGGUAUUUAUAGGUAUUAAUAAUAGAAUUUAUCUAAGUUACAUUAUAACAUUUUGCUUUGUCA
rnacentral:lncRNA from 1 species